rnacentral:tRNA from 1 species
GGCUCGGUGGUGUAGUUGGUUAUCACGUCAGUCUAACAAGCCAGUUAGAACACUGAAGGUCCCGAGUUCAAACCUCGGCUGAGUCA